GUCCACGCUGUAAACGAUGAGAACUUGAUGUUGGGUUGCUUAGCAAUUCAGUAUCGGAGCUAACGCGUUAAGUUCUCCGCCUGGGGAGUACGGCCGCAAGGUUGAAACUCAAAGGAAUUGACGGGGGCCCGCACAAGCGGUGGAGCAUGUGGUUUAAUUCGAUGCAACGCGAAGAACCUUACCUGGCCUUGACAUCCUGCGAACUUUCUAGAGAUAGAUUGGUGCCUUCGGGAACGCAGUGAC
rnacentral:rRNA from 1 species